UAACAUACCUUGUUUUAUCCAGGCUGAGUGUGAAGAGCUACAGGCAAGAGUAGAGACGCAAAACAACGAGAACCACUCACUCAGAGAUGAACUACAGAGGCUUUCUGAGGAAUGUGGGAAGCUUACAGCUGAGAAUGAUUCAAUAAAGGAUGAAUUAACCAGGUUUUUUGGACCUAAAGCUGUUUCGAAACUCGAUGCACAUCUUCAAUCUCGAACGAACGAAGGUGAAAGUUGAUAUCAUGACAACAAGUUACUUAUUAAGCUUAUACAAUUAGGUCAACAACCAUUUCCGAGUUAUCAAAAGGAAUCGACUUUAGGAUCUGAUUAAGGAAGUGCAGCACUCUUAUACACUCCAUAACCAAGGUUAUUGCGACAUUG